rnacentral:lncRNA from 1 species
CCUGUCUGUCUCUCCCAUUAUGGAAGCUAACCCUUGACCCACACAUCUCUAGUUGGACCACACUGAGACAGCAGGGCAAAUACUCUCCAACCUCUGUAUGUAUAUGUAAGCAUGUGUACAUGUUUUUUAAAGGAGUUGGAUGUUUGGUCAAUAAAGUAAUAUUAUUCUACUACUGCAGGUCCCUGCCCGCACAGCCCAAGUCAUAGUAAAAUGAAGAAUCCCUCCCCUGGUUCGUUCAUCUGUCGUUGGUUAGUUCCCUCCUGUCUACAGUGUGUGAUGCACAAUCAAGAGCAUCCUGUCGGGCUGUAUCACCGCCUGGUACGGCAACUGCUCCACUCACAACCACAAGGCUCUCCAGAGGGUAGUGAGGUCUGCACAACGCAUCACCGGGGGCAAACUACCUGCCUUCCAAGACACCUACACCACCCAAUGUCACAGGAAGGCCAAAAAGAGCAUCAAGGACAACAACUACCCGAGCCACUGCCUGUUCACCCCGCUAUCAUCCAGAAGGCGAGGUCAGUAGUGGUGCAUCAACGCUGGGACCGAGAGACUGAAAACCAGCUUCUAUCUCAAGGCCAUCAGAUUGUUAAACAGCCAUCACUAACAUUGAGUGGCUGCUGCCAACAUAUGGACUCAAAUCUCUAGCCACUUUAAUCAUUAAAAAUUGGAUGUAAUAAAUGUAUCACUAGUCACUUUAAACAAUGCCACUAUAAUGUUUAUAUACCCU